GGAUGGUAAACAAAUCUUUUGCACAGAUUUAACAAAACCCAACCA
rnacentral:tRNA from 1 species